AUUGAACGCUGGCGGCGUGCCUAACACACGCAAGUCGAGCGGUAACAGGUGUAGCAAUACAUGCUGACGAGCGGCGGACGGGUGAGUAACGCUUGGGAAUCUGCCUAUUAGUGGGGGACAACCCGGGGAAACUCGGGCUAAUACCGCAUACGCACUACGGUGGAAAGCCGGGGACCGCAAGGCCUGGCGCUAACAGAUGAGCCCAAGUCGGAUUAGCUAGUUGGUAGGGUAACGGCCACCAAGGCGACGAUCCGUAACUGGUCUGAGAGGACGACCAGUCACACCGGAACUGAGACACGGUCCGGACUCCUACGGGAGGCAGCAGUGGGGAAUAUUGGACAAUGGGCGAAAGCCUGAUCCAGCGACGCCGCGUGGGUGAAGAAGGCCUGCGGGUUGUAAAGCCCUUUCAGUGGGGAAGAAAAGCCUCGAGCUAACACCUCGGGGUCUUGACGUAACCCAUAGAAGAAGCACCGGCUAACUCUGUGCCAGCCGCCGCAGUAAC
rnacentral:rRNA from 1 species